GACGAACGCUGGCGGCGUGCUUAACACAUGCAAGUCGAACGGAAAGGCCCUGCUUUUGUGGGGUGCUCGAGUGGCGAACGGGUGAGUAACCCGUGAGUAACCUGCCCUUGACUUUGGGAUAACUUCAGGAAACUGGGGCUAAUACCGGAUAGGAGCUCCUGCUGCAUGGUGGGGGUUGGAAAGUUUCGGCGGUUGGGGAUGGACUCGCGGCUUAUCAGCUUGUUGGUGGGGUAGUGGCUUACCAAGGCUUUGACGGGUAGCCGGCCUGAGAGGGUGACCGGCCACAUUGGGACUGAGAUACGACCCAGACUCCUACGGGAGGCAGCAGUGGUGAAUAUUGCACAAUGGGCGGCAGCCUGAUGCAGCAACGCCGCGUGCUGGAUGACGGCCUUCGGGUUGUAAACCGCUUUCGCCUGUGACGAAGCGUGAGUGACGGUAAUGGGUAAAGAAGCACCGGCUAACUACGUG
rnacentral:rRNA from 1 species